GACGAACGCUGGCGGCGUGCUUAACACAUGCAAGUCGAACGGAAAGGCCCUGCUUUUGUGGGGUGCUCGAGUGGCGAACGGGUGAGUAACACGUGAGUAACCUGCCCUUGACUUUGGGAUAACUUCAGGAAACUGGGGCUAAUACCGGAUAGGAGCUCCUGCUGCAUGGUGGGGGUUGGAAAGUUUCGGCGGUUGGGGAUGGACUCGCGGCUUAUCAGCUUGUUGGUGGGGUAGUGGCUUACCAAGGCUUUGACGGGUAGCCGGCCUGAGAGGGUGGCCGGCCACAUUAGGCCUACGGUAGAGCCCAGAAUCCAACCGGAGGCAGCAGUGGGGAAUAUUGCACAGUGGCCGGAAGCCUGAUGCAGCAGCGCCGCGUGCGGGAUGACGGCCUUCGGGUUGUAAACCGCUUUCGCCUGUGACGAAGCGUGAGUGACGGUAAUGGGUAAAGAAGCACCGGCUAACUACGUG
rnacentral:rRNA from 1 species